UAGGGAAUAUUGGACAAUGGGCGAAAGCCUGAUCCAGCAACGCCGCGUGUGCGAUGACGGCCUUCGGGUUGUAAAGCACUUUUAGAGGAGAUGAGAAAGGACAGUAUCCUCUGAAUAAGCCUCGGCGAACUACGUGCCAGCAGCCGCGGUAAAACGUAGGAGGCUAGCGUUAUCCGGAUUUAUUGGGCGUAAAGCGCGUGCAGGCGGUUUAUCAAGUUGGAUGUGAAAGCUCCUGGCUUAACUGGGAGAGGUCGUUCAAAACUGA
rnacentral:rRNA from 1 species